GGCUGGGCAAGGUGCGGGGCUAGGGCUAACAGCAGUCUUGCUGACGGUUUCCUGGAGACCACACACAUGCUGUUGCCACUAACCUCAACCUUACUCGGUC
ensembl:miRNA microRNA 744